GACGAACGCUGGCGGCGUGCUUAACACAUGCAAGUCGAACGGAAAGGCCCUGCUUUUGUGGGGUGCUCGAGUGGCGAACGGGUGAGUAACACGUGAGUAACCUGCCCUUGACUUUGGGAUAACUUCAGGAAACUGGGGCUCAUACCGGAUAGCAGCUCCUGCUGCAUGGUGGGGGUUGGAAAGUUUCGGCGUGUGGGGAUGGACUCGCGGCUUACCAGUUUGUUGGUGGGGUAGUGGCUUACCAAGGCUUUGACGGAUGGCCGGCCUGGGAGGGUGACCGGCCACAUGGGGACGGGGAUACGGCCCGGACUCCAACGGGAGGCAGCGGUGGGGAAUAUGGCACAAUGGGCGGAAGCCUGAUGCGGCAACGCCGCGGGCGGAAUGACGGCCUUCGGGUUGAAAACCGCUUCCGCCUGUGACGAAGCGUGAGUGACGGUAACGGGUAAAGAAGCACCGGCUAACUACGUG
rnacentral:rRNA from 1 species